rnacentral:rRNA from 1 species
AUUGAACGCUGGCGGCAUGCCUUACACAUGCAAGUCGAACGGUAACGGGCCUUCGGGUGCCGACGAGUGGCGGACGGGGGAGUAAUACAUCGGAACGUGCCCGAUCGUGGGGGAUAACGAGGCGAAAGCUUUGCUAAUACCGCAUACGAUCUACGGAGGAAAGCAGGGGACCGCAAGGGCUUUCGCGGACGGACCGGCCGAUGUCAGAUUAGGUAGUUGGUGGGAUAAAAGCUUACCAAGCCGACGAUCUGUAGCUGGUCUGAGAGGAUGAUCAGCCACACUGGGACUGAGACACGGCCCAGACUCCUACGGGAGGCAGCAGUGGGGAAUUUUGGACAAUGGGCGCAAGCCUGAUCCAGCCAUGCCGCGUGCAGGAUGAAGGCCUUCGGGUUGUAAACUGCUUUUGUACGGAAAGAAAAGCAUUCUUUUAAUACAGGAGGGUCAUGACGGUACCGUAAGAAUAAGCACCGGCUAACUACGUG